rnacentral:rRNA from 1 species
CUACGGGUUGCACCAGUGGGGAAUAUUGGACAAUGGGGGAAACCCUGAUCCAGCAAUGCCGCGUGUGUGAAGAAGGCCUUAGGGUUGUAAAGCACUUUCAGUAGUGAGGAAAAGUUUAAGGCUAAUACCCUUGAACCCUGACGUUAACUACAGAAGAAGCACCGGCUAACUUCGUGCCAGCAGCCGCGGUAAUACGAAGGGUGCAAGCGUUAAUCGGAUUUACUGGGCGUAAAGCGCGCGUAGGCGGUUUGAUAAGUCGGAUGUGAAAGCCCCGGGCUCAACCUGGGAAUUGCAUUCGAUACUGUCAGGCUAGAGUAUGGUAGAGGGAAGUGGAAUUCCACAUGUAGCGGUGAAAUGCGUAGAUAUGUGGAGGAACACCAGUGGCGAAGGCGACUUCCUGGCCCAAUACUGACGCUGAGGUGCGAAAGCGUGGGGAGCAAACAGGAUUAGAUACCCUCGUAGUC